GACAUAGGUCGCAAACGUUUAUCCGGAAUUAUUGGGCGUAAAGGAUGCGUAGAUGGUUCAAUAAGUUACUGGUGGGAAAUCGAGGCUCAACCUCGUGGAAGUCAGUAAUACUGUUGAACUUGAGUGCAGGAGAGGUUAACGGAACUUUAUGUGGAGCGGUAAAAUGCGUAGAUAUAUGAAAGAACAUCAAUAUGGCGAAGGCAGUUAACUAUUCUGUUACUGACGUUUGAGGCAAUGAAAGCGUGGGGGAGCAAAACGG
rnacentral:rRNA from 1 species